AGACAACACAUGAUCUCUACCUGCCACUUGCCUAAUUCUGUUGACAGAAACUGCUUUCAAUAUGACUGUUGAAAUUUAAAGUGUAAGCUGCUAUAUGAAGGGAUCCACAAGACGAAUAAUUAAGGGGGACCUCUGAUCAACAGCCAGCAAGGAACUGAAUCCCUCAGACCCACAACUCACAAGAAACUGAAGCUGAAGCAGAUUCUUCCUCAGUCAAGCUUCAGGUGCCCAGCUGUAUUGGUAGAGGAGACCAACCACACCCUCCACAGCACAGCACCUGGAGAGGAACUGCUGCCAUGACCAUAGAGGACACCCUCUGGAUACAAUGCCAGACUUGAUGUGGGACUGACCAACCUAUGGACCCCAGGCACCACCACCCAGACCUGCUCAGCACCUGAAACAUUCACAGCCGUGGAGAGAGAACUGUUCACUGCUACCAUCCACACUUCUGGGCCCCUUCAGCAGCAGGGUGACAAGGAAGAGGGAAAUCGACUUGGAAAAGAGGGGACCUCUGACCCAAGAGUUCGGUCAAUGCAUAUGUUGGCAGCCAGCUGCACAUCGCACCAAAUAUGAACUUCAAAUAGAAGAAAGCCUCAUUUGGAAGAAAGCUCAUGCACAGACUGUAAAUAUUUCAGAGCAGAUUGUGUCUCUGUAGAUUAAUAACCAAAAAAUAGAAGAUUCAGAAGAACUAGCAAAUGUGGAGAGAACGGAUGAAAUGGAAGCAGUGUGAACCUAGUGAAUACUUGCCAAGCUGUAUCUCCCCUGAAUUUGUCAAAACAUCAUCUCCAGCAUCUGAGCUAGACCAACCCUCAGUGCUAACAUUGAUGUGAUUAAAGAGUCUGAACUGGGAGCAGAAUUCCUUCAGGUAUUUUGUUAAUAAAAUAAAGCUCUCCAUCUCUCCUUAAA
rnacentral:lncRNA from 1 species